rnacentral:rRNA from 1 species
CAGCCGCCGCGGGAAUACAGAGGGUGCGAGCGUUAAUCGGAUUUACUGGUCGUAAAGCGUGCGUAGGCGGCUUCUUAAGUCGGAUUUGAAAUCCCUGAGCUUAACUUAGGAAUUGCAUUCGAUACUGGGAAGCUAGAGUAUGGGAGAGGAUGGUAGAAUUCCAGGUGUAGCGGUGAAAUGCGUAGAGAUCUGGAGGAAUACCGAUGGCGAAGGCAGCCAUCUGGCCUAAUACUGACGCUGAGGUACGAAAGCAUGGGGAUCAAACAGGAUUAGAUACCCCAGUAGUCCCUGUCUCUUAUAC